ACGGAAGGCAGCAGUGGGGAAUAUUGCACAAUGGGGGAAACCCUGAUGCAGCGACGCCGCGUGAGCGAAGAAGUAUUUCGGUAUGUAAAGCUCUAUCAGCAGGGAAGAAAUUGACGGUACCUGACUAAGAAGCACCGGCUAAAUACGUGCCAGCAGCCGCGGUAAUACGUAUGGUGCAAGCGUUAUCCGGAUUUACUGGGUGUAAAGGGAGCGUAGACGGGGCAGCAAGUCUGGAGUGAAAACCCGGGGCUCAACCCCGGGGCUGCUUUGGAAACUGUUGUUCUAGAGUGCUGGAGAGGUAAGUGGAAUUCCUAGUGUAGCGGGGAAAUGCGUAGAUAUUAGGAGGAACACCAGUGGCGAAGGCGGCUUACUGGACAGUAACUGACGUUGAGGCUCGAAAGCGGGGGGAGCAAACAGGAUAGAUACCCUGGUA
rnacentral:rRNA from 1 species